GGAACCUCAGCAAAGCCGUGAUUGCAGGGAAUGAGGUUUGUUAGAUCUUAAGGACUGUGGAAAGUCCCAGAGCCACUUAGCAGGUGAAGAAUCAUGACUGUGUCUGUGCCAGCUUUGAGGGCCUCUCAUCUCUGAACUGAUUGCGGUGAGCAUAGGAAAAACCCGAAGGAGGAGUUCAGAUUCAGAGGGCACUUGAAAGGGUUUUGCCUAGUGACACUGAUCAUAGCUGGCAGGGGGCCGCUUCAGCGGAGGCAGCGGCUGUUGCUUCUCAUCCACGGCCCCAGACAGAUCACUCCAUGUAUCAACGGAGAAGAGCUAACGAGAAGAGCAGUGGGCUCUCCGGAGAAACUGAGGAGAGGGAGCAAGACGGAUUUGACUGUCCACGACUGCUUGGUGCAAUGUGAAUCUCAGCAAUUUUUAGCAGGAUUCUGCUAAUGAAUGUGGAACCCAGGGACUGGCAGCUCCAUUUCCUCUGGUGGAGUGUUUUGGACCUAUCUAAGAGUUUGCAAUCCUUCUCAAAAGACACGAGCAGUGAGUUGGAGCCACAGCACUUUUAUGACUUGUUUACUCAGGACUGUGAUGCUUAAGUUUAAAUCAGAAGCUGGAAGCUAAGAACUGCUAAAUGCUGACUUCCAAGAUGGCCCCCAUUGACUCCUACCUCCUGGUAUUCAGGGUCCGUGUAAUCCCCUCCCCUGGAAUGACUUGCUUCUAACAAAUAAAAUGCUGUAAAAUUGAUGAGUACUGCUUUCGUGAUUAGGUUUCAAAGACUAUGACUUUCAGACAGGCAGACUCUCUCCGUUGCCUUCUCAUCUUGCCUGCUUUGCUGAAGCAAGCUGCCAAACUGGAGAGGCCUAAAGUGGCAAGAAACUGAAUGUGGUCUCUGGCCAACUGCCAGAGGGGAACUGAGGCCCUCAGUCCAACAAGCUGUGAGGAACUGAAUCCAGCCAACAACCACGUGAACUUGGAGUGGAUCCUUCUCUAGUCAAGUCUUGAGAUAAACACAUCCCAGUCAAGAUGCUGAUGACAGCCUAUGGGAAAACCUAAAGCAGAGGACCCAGCUAAGCCACGCCCAGAUCCCUAACCCACACAAACUGUGAGAUGAUAAAUGUGUACUGUUUUAAGCUGCUGAGGUUUGAGGAAAUUUAUUAUGCAGCAAUAGAUAGUAGAUAACUAAUACAGUCUGUUACUAUACUUUGAAACUGUUCUGAUCACUCUUGGUAAAAAAAAAAAGGAAAUAUCUGAUAAACUUAUUCAUACUACAGCAUUUGGGAACUCAAGAUGUGACCCCUGUUGGAAUAAUGUCCUCAGAGGGAAGGUAAUGCCAACACCAUAGAGUGCAUGAAUAAUGGCAGAAUUUUAGGAUUUGGGGCGAAUAAUGG
rnacentral:lncRNA from 1 species